CCUACGGGUGGCAGCAGUGGGGAAUAUUGCACAAUGGGGGAAACCCUGAUGCAGCGACGCCGCGUGAGUGAAGAAGUAAUUCGUUACGUAAAGCUCUAUCAGCAGGGAAGAAACACUGACCUUGCGGUCAGCAGACGGUACCUGGGUAAGAAGCCCCGGCUAACUACGUGCCAGCAGCCGCGGUAAUACGUAGGGGGCAAGCGUUAUCCGGUGUUAUUGGGUUUAAAGGGUGCGUAGGCGUAAUGCCAAGUCAGCGGUAAAAGAGCGGGGCUCAACCUCGCUCCGCCGUUGAAACUGGCGUUCUUGAGUGGGCGAGAAGUAGGCGGAAUGCGUGGUGUAGCGGUGAAAUGCAUAGAUAGCACGCAGAACUCCGAUUGCGAAGGCAGCAUACCGGCGCCCAACUGACGCUGAAGCACGAAAGCGUGGGUAUCGAACAGGAUUAGAUACCCCUGUAGUC
rnacentral:rRNA from 1 species